UUAAGCGACUAAGCGUACACGGUGGAUGCCCUGGCAGUCAGAGGCGAUGAAGGACGUGCUAAUCUGCGAAAAGCGUCGGUAAGGUGAUAUGAACCGUUAUAGCCGGCGAUGUCCGAAUGGGGAAACCCAGUGCAAUUCGUUGCACUAUCGUUAACUGAAUACAUAGGUUAACGAGGCGAACCGGGGGAACUGAAACAUCUAAGUACCCCGAGGAAAAGAAAUCAACCGAGAUUCCCCCAGUAGCGGCGAGCGAACGGGGAGCAGCCCAGAGUCUGAAUCAGCUUGUGUGUUAGUGGAACGGUCUGGAAAGUCCGACGGUACAGGGUGAUAGUCCCGUACACCAAAAUGCACAGGUUGUGAACUCGAAGAGUAGGGCGGGACACGUGGUAUCCUGUCUGAAUAUGGGGGGACCAUCCUCCAAGGCUAAAUACUCCUGACUGACCGAUAGUGAACCAGUACCGUGAGGGAAAGGCGAAAAGAACCCCGGCGAGGGGAGUGAAAAAGAACCUGAAACCGUGUACGUACAAGCAGUGGGAGCACCUUCGGGUGUGACUGCGUACCUUUUGUAUAAUGGGUCAGCGACUUAUAUUCUGUAGCAAGGUUAACCGUAUAGGGGAGCCGCAGGGAAACCGAGUCUUAACUGGGCGUUAAGUUGCAGGGUAUAGACCCGAAACCCGGUGAUCUAGCCAUGGGCAGGUUGAAGGUUGGGUAACACUAACUGGAGGACCGAACCGACUAAUGUUGAAAAAUUAGCGGAUGACUUGUGGCUGGGGGUGAAAGGCCAAUCAAACCGGGAGAUAGCUGGUUCUCCCCGAAAGCUAUUUAGGUAGCGCCUCGUGAAUUCAUCUUCGGGGGUAGAGCACUGUUUCGGCUAGGGGGUCAUCCCGACUUACCAACCCGAUGCAAACUACGAAUACCGAAGAAUGUUAUCACGGGAGACACACGGCGGGUGCUAACGUCCGUCGUGAAGAGGGAAACAACCCAGACCGCCAGCUAAGGUCCCAAAGUCAUGGUUAAGUGGGAAACGAUGUGGGAAGGCACAGACAGCCAGGAUGUUGGCUUAGAAGCAGCCAUCAUUUAAAGAAAGCGUAAUAGCUCACUGGUCGAGUCGGCCUGCGCGGAAGAUGUAACGGGGCUAAACCAUGCACCGAAGCUGCGGCAGCGACACUAUGUGUUGUUGGGUAGGGGAGCGUUCUGUAAGCCUGCGAAGGUGACCUGUGAGGGUUGCUGGAGGUAUCAGAAGUGCGAAUGCUGACAUAAGUAACGAUAAAGCGGGUGAAAAGCCCGCUCGCCGGAAGACCAAGGGUUCCUGUCCAACGUUAAUCGGGGCAGGGUGAGUCGACCCCUAAGGCGAGGCCGAAAGGCGUAGUCGAUGGGAAACAGGUUAAUAUUCCUGUACUUGGUGUUACUGCGAAGGGGGGACGGAGAAGGCUAUGUUAGCCGGGCGACGGUUGUCCCGGUUUAAGCAUGUAGGCUGAUUGUCCAGGCAAAUCCGGAUAAUCAAGGCUGAGGUGUGAUGACGAGGCACUACGGUGCUGAAGUAACAAAUGCCCUGCUUCCAGGAAAAGCCUCUAAGCAUCAGGUAACAUCAAAUCGUACCCCAAACCGACACAGGUGGUCAGGUAGAGAAUACCAAGGCGCUUGAGAGAACUCGGGUGAAGGAACUAGGCAAAAUGGUGCCGUAACUUCGGGAGAAGGCACGCUGGUGUGUAGGUGAAGUCCCUGCGGAUGGAGCUGAGACCAGUCGAAGAUACCAGCUGGCUGCAACUGUUUAUUAAAAACACAGCACUGUGCAAACACGAAAGUGGACGUAUACGGUGUGACGCCUGCCCGGUGCCGGAAGGUUAAUUGAUGGGGUUAUCCGUAAGGAGAAGCUCUUGAUCGAAGCCCCGGUAAACGGCGGCCGUAACUAUAACGGUCCUAAGGUAGCGAAAUUCCUUGUCGGGUAAGUUCCGACCUGCACGAAUGGCGUAAUGAUGGCCAGGCUGUCUCCACCCGAGACUCAGUGAAAUUGAACUCGCUGUGAAGAUGCAGUGUACCCGCGGCAAGACGGAAAGACCCCGUGAACCUUUACUAUAGCUUGACACUGAACAUUGAGCCUUGAUGUGUAGGAUAGGUGGGAGGCUUUGAAGCGUGGACGCCAGUCUGCGUGGAGCCAACCUUGAAAUACCACCCUUUAAUGUUUGAUGUUCUAACGUUGGCCCCUUACCGGGGUUGCGGACAGUGUCUGGUGGGUAGUUUGACUGGGGCGGUCUCCUCCCAAAGCGUAACGGAGGAGCACGAAGGUUAGCUAAUCCUGGUCGGACAUCAGGAGGUUAGUGCAAUGGCAUAAGCUAGCUUGACUGCGAGCGUGACGGCGCGAGCAGGUGCGAAAGCAGGUCAUAGUGAUCCGGUGGUUCUGAAUGGAAGGGCCAUCGCUCAACGGAUAAAAGGUACUCCGGGGAUAACAGGCUGAUACCGCCCAAGAGUUCAUAUCGACGGCGGUGUUUGGCACCUCGAUGUCGGCUCAUCACAUCCUGGGGCUGAAGUAGGUCCCAAGGGUAUGGCUGUUCGCCAUUUAAAGUGGUACGCGAGCUGGGUUUAGAACGUCGUGAGACAGUUCGGUCCCUAUCUGCCGUGGGCGCUGGAGAAUUGAGGGGGGCUGCUCCUAGUACGAGAGGACCGGAGUGGACGCAUCACUGGUGUUCGGGUUGUCAUGCCAAUGGCACUGCCCGGUAGCUAAAUGCGGAAGAGAUAAGUGCUGAAAGCAUCUAAGCACGAAACUUGCCCCGAGAUGAGUUCUCCCUGAGACUUUAAGUCUCCUGAAGGAACGUUGAAGACGACGACGUUGAUAGGCCGGGUGUGUAAGCGCAGCGAUGCGUUGAGCUAACCGGUACUAAUGAACCGUGAGGCUUAACCUU
rnacentral:rRNA from 1 species